AAGAAGAAAGUGGAAAGUGGCUGUCGGUGGCUUUGACGAAAAGACAAUCUGCCGUUACGGAUGUCCAAUUACAACCCAACUUGGAAACUACGACAAAAUUUGUUGACGAACCAGUAAAAGGUUUGAUGACCAACUGCCAUUAUCGAGCAGCAUUACCAAUUUACUUGUCAAAUGUUUGAACUUGCGAGAUACAUGGUUAACAAAACCACCAGUUCUUAUUAUUAUCCCCCCCCCUCCUUUUUCAAAGAUCAACAGCGGCUUGAAAACUCUGACCCAGUCUCUAAACUUGCUAAAAUUGGGGACAAGACCAAAAAGGCUCUUACGGCAAUUAACAAACCUAAAACAGAAACAAGUUAACAGCUUACAGCACAAUUGUCUGUUGAACAGCAGCUAUACUAUAAAGAAAUUACUGAGGCGUGUGUUUGCUCCGAUCAAGCCAGAC